CGGCCAAAUAGCUCCGUAUCUUAGGUAGAAGGAGUGCCUAUUCCGAGAGGGAAUAGGUCGCAGUGGCAAGGGGACCCCGACUGUUUACCAAAAACACAGAUCGCUGCUAGUUCGUAAGGAUGUGUAUAGCGGUUGAAACCUGCCCAGUGUCGGUACCUGAAAAUCCCGUACAAGGGAAAGAAGGGCCGAUAAACGGCGGGGGUAACUAUGACCCUCUUAAGGUAGCGUAAUACCUAGCCGCUUAAUUGGCGGCUUGCAUGAAGGUUCAACGUGAGUCCCACUGUCCCCGCGUUCAGCCCCGUGAAAUUGAUGCACUGGUGCACAAUCCAGUCUCUCCCACGUGAAAGCGAAGUCCCCGUGGAGCUUUACUGCAGCCUGUAGCUGUAAUACGGUGCUUAAUGCGUAGAGUAGGAAGGAGCUGUCGAUGCCUGGGUUCUGGCUCAGGUGGAGGCGACGAUGAAACACUUCCCUUUGAGUACUGAAUUACUAACCUCGCAAGAGGGACAACUAUUGGUGGGCAGUUUGGGUGGGGCGCCACGCCCCCGAGAAUUUAACAGGGGCCCCCAAAGGUUAGCUCAGGAGGGUCAGUAAUCCUCCGUAGAGUGUAAGGGCAAAAGCUAGCUUGACUGAGUUCCGGACAAUAAGGAACGCAGAUGCGAAAGCAGGGCCUAACGAACCACCCUGUCCCCCUUUAGUGGGGGCGGGUGAUAAGAGAGAAGUUACCCCAGGGAUAACUGAGUUGUCCUCGGCAAGAGUUCAUAUCGACCCGAGGGUUUGCUACUUCGAUGUCGUCUGUUCCUAUCCUGGUGCUGAACAAGGUGCCAAGGGUGGGGCUGUUCGCCCAUUAAAAGGGAUCCUGAGAUGGGUUCACUACGUCGCGAGACAGUAGGGUUGCUUCUCCGUGGGAGUGUUCGAUGUCUGAAGGGAAGGAGCCUUUAGUACGAGAGGAACGGGGGUUCGUGACCUCUGGUUUGCCGGUUGUCUGUCAAGGCAUUUGCCGGGUAGCCACGUCAUACGCGAAUAAAAGCUGAAAGCAUCUAAGCUUGAAGUCGCCCCUGAAAAUAGACAUCGUUAUUAGGUCUCUCCUAGAAGAGGAGAUUGAUAGAACUGGGAUGUAAGUGCCGAGCUUCGGCGAGGCAUUCAGUCUACAGUUACUAAUCGACCGAAUGCACAAUC
rnacentral:rRNA from 1 species